rnacentral:lncRNA from 1 species
CACAAAUGCUGCAUUUAUGGCGCCGCUCCAGCCGAUGCACAAAACGUUGGUGCCGGGUCAGCUGCAAGGCCUUUCCAAAUUCACGGCUGCACAGGAGGCAGCGGUAGGUGCCUGGGGCAGCGGGCCCUGCUGAGGUCUCCUCAGACACAGGGGGCUCAGGGGCCUCUGGCUCUCCAGUCUCUGCUGGGGCUGGCUCAGGGAAACCAAUGACAGGUUCCUCUGGUGGGACUGGUGUUGUGGGCAGAGGGACACCCCCUACCCCAUGAGUACGCCGGUGAUAAAGGAACUUGGUAAGGUUGACAAAGGUCUUCCCACAUGGACAUGAAUGCAGAGGAUUCGGGGUGUGGGCUCGCCGGUGGGCCAGGAGGAGGGCCUCUGUGCCGAAGGCCAGGCCACAGUCUACACACAGGAAGUGUGACUCGCUGCUAUGGUCUCCAAGGUGCUGGUCCAGACUGGAAGGGCUAGGGAAGACACGACUGCACAGGGGGCACUUAAAGACGCCCUCCCGGUGACUCCGCAGUCAUGGCGGCAGCAAGGCCCUGG